rnacentral:rRNA from 1 species
CGACUUUCUGGACUGCAACUGACACUGAGGCGCGAAAGCUAGGGGAGCAAACAGGAUUAGAUACCCUGGUAGUCCUAGCCGUAAACGAUGGGUACUAGGUGUUGGGGGUGACAAUCCUCCAGUGCCGCAGUUAACGCAUUAAGUACCCCGCCUGGGGACUACGGCCGCAAGGCUGAAACUCAAAGGAAUUGACGGGGGCCCGCACAAGCAGCGGAGCAUGUGGUUUAAUUCGAUGCAACGCGAAAAACCUUACCAGGGCUUGACAUCCUCUGAAGCUGUAAGAGAUUAUAGUGUCCUUCCGGGGCAGAGAGACAGGUGGUGCAUGGUUGUCGUCAGCUCGUGUCGUGAGAUGUUGGGUUAAGUCCCGCAACGAGCGCAACCCUUAUUCUCAGUUGCCAGCACGCAAAGGUGGGCACUCUGAGGAGACUGCCGGUGACAAACCGGAGGAAGGUGGGGAUGACGUCAAAUCAUCAUGCCCCUUAUGUCCUGGGCUACACACGUGCUACAAUGGCCUGAACAACGGGCGUGCGAAGGAGCGAUCCGGAGCAAAUCCCUUAAAUCAGGUCCCAGUUCGGAUUGCAGGCUGCAACUCGCCUGCAUGAAGCAGGAGUUGCUAGUAAUCGCGGAUCAGCAUGCCGCGGUGAAUGCGUUCCCGGGCCUUGUACACACCGCCCGUCACACCACGAAAGUUUGCAACACCCGAAGCCGGUGAGCUAACCGUAAGGAGGCAGCCGUCGAAGGUGGGGCAGAUAAUUGGGGUGAAGUCGUAACAAGGUAACC